AUGACUGAGAAGGCGGUGUGGGAUGAUGCCCAUCUCAAGAAACUCAUUGAAAUAUUGAGAGAAGAGGUUGAAAAGGGGAAUAGGCCAUUAGGUUAUUUAAACAAGAGGGGUUGGGAAAACGUUUUGGAGAAAUGGGAAGCUAGAACGGGAAAGAAGUAUCCCAAGGAUAAAUUCAAAAACAAGUGGGAUGCCAUAAAAAAUGAGUACACUUGGUUCAUGGAGUUGAAAAAUGAAGCAACUGGGCUUGGAUGGGAUGAUGCGAAGAGAACCGUUGAUUGCUCUAAAGAAUGGUGGGAUGAACAUAUCAAGAGAUGCCAAGAGAGUACAUGAAAGAAAUGCAAUCAUAUGAAGUUCAAAAAACAGGGACCAAAGCACCUUGAAGAUUUGCACAUCAUAUUUGACAAAGUACAUGUUACUGGGGCUAGUGCUUCUUGUGCUGGAGAUAUAUCUUCUGAUGAAUCAAGUGAUGAUAAUGCGGUUCCUUUCGAGAAGCCCGAUGGUCGUGCUGAAAUGAAGUUGGCAUCUUCGAAGAAACCAAAACCAAGCAAGAAGCGCAAGCAACCUUCUAACGCAAAUGAGGAGAAGGAAGAGAAGAGUCCAUUCUUACGAUUGUACAAGCAGACAUGCGAGAAAAUAGAAAGUGGAGUGGACAAGAUAACUUCAAGUGUUGAAGCAUCGUCCGCUCCUCUCACAAACCAUGUUCCCACCAUUUCAGAAGUAAUGAAGAUGGUCAAAGAAUGUGGUGUGAAGGAAAAAACUGCUCUCAUGCACACAACCCUCACUCUUAUAGUGAAGCCCGAGUUUAGGGAAAUCUUCAAUGUUCUUGAAACAAAAGAAGGGAGGUUUGAUUUUUUAGAGAGGGAGCAUGAGAAGGAAGCACGUGUAGUGAAUCAUAUUUGUUUAUGUUAUAGACCUAUAUUUGCUUUCAUUGUGGACCAAAUUUGGUUAUUUGUGGACCAUAUUUGCUUUCGUUGUGGAUGUAAUUGCUUUUGUCGUGGACCAUAUUUGCUUAUGUUGGUUUACCAUAUUUAUGUUGUGAGAAAUAUUUACUCCUGUUGUUUACCAUAUUUAUGUUGUGAGAAAUAUGUGCUCAUGUUGUUUUACCAUAUUUAUGUUGUGAGAAAUAUGUGCUCGUGUUGUUUUACCUUAUUUAUGUUGUGA
rnacentral:rRNA from 1 species